rnacentral:rRNA from 1 species
GACAGAGGGUGCAAACGUUGUUCGGAAUUACUGGGCGUAAAGCGCGUGUAGGCGGCUAUGCAAGUCGGGCGUGAAAUCCCUCGGCUCAACCGAGGAAGUGCACUCGAAACUGCGUAGCUAGAGUCUCGGAGAGGAAGGUGGAAUACUUGGUGUAGAGGUGAAAUUCGUAGAUAUCAAGUGGAACACCGGCGGCGAAGGCGGCCUUCUGGACGAUGACUGACGCUGAGACGCGAAAGCGUGGGGAGCGAACGGG